CCGUAGGGUUCUUGGUCAAUGAAAAACAGCCCCAAAAGGUUCUUCAAAGAACUUGUUAGAAGGUGGGUUCAUCAAGGAACCUCCGUUGUUGCUGGACUUCUUCCGGGAACUUCGCAAUUACAACUGAAAACGAUGGUGACAAGUUUGGAUGCGACAACAGUUAAAAAGGACAGAACAUGGACACAAUGCAAUUGGGAUCAAGAAGAAGGUACAGAUAUGUUGUAGGACAGCUGCAUUUGAAGUGUACAUUUAACCUACAUAGCAGUCAAUACAAACUGAAAUCUAUUAGCAUACAAAUGUGUGCAAAUGAUCUUUUCAGAUCUUCUCAGAAAUGAAUCAAGUCCAUGGAAUGGAUAUAGACAAAAAAGAGAAUUCAAGGACUAGCAGAGGUAGAGAGGCGAGGCAGGGGUGAGGACAUCAUCCUGCUAUUUUGACAGUCCCUGAAGGACAAUACAGAAGAGGACUGGAGACCACAGCAGUGAUUCUGCUCUUGCCCUACCUCUUCAAUGAGGACCCGAGUGGCCUUUAUGUCCGUGACAAGAUUUCACCGCUCUUCACUCCUUUACUGCACAUCGGCGGAAAUCCAUUUCACCAUGAGAAUGAAAUUCCGCUGGCCUU